rnacentral:rRNA from 1 species
CCUACGGGGAGCAGCAGUGGGGGAUAUUGCACAAUGGGGGGAACCCUGAUGCAGCGACGCCGCGUGGGUGAAGAAGCGCCUCGGCGCGUAAAGCCCUGUCAGCAGGGAAGAAAAUGACGGUACCUGAAGAAGAAGCCCCGGCUAACUACGUGCCAGCAGCCGCGGUAAUACGUAGGGGGCAAGCGUUAUCCGGAUUUACUGGGUGGAAAGGGGGCGCAGACGGCGAUGCAAGCCAGGAGUGAAAGCCCGGGGCCCAACCCCGGGACUGCUCUUGGAACUGCGUGGCUGGAGUGCAGGAGGGGCAGGCGGAAUUCCUGGUGUAGCGGUGAAAUGCGUAGAUAUCAGGAGGAACACCGGUGGCGAAGGCGGCCUGCUGGACUGCAACUGACGUUGAGGUCCGAAAGCGUGGGGAGCAAACAGGAUUAGAUACCCCAGUAGUC